ACCUCCUGUGCCUACUGAGCUGAAAACAGUUGGAUGUCAGACACUGGCUCAGUUCAGCAGGAACCGGAGU
rnacentral:pre_miRNA from 1 species